rnacentral:lncRNA from 1 species
ACCACUUAAACUCCACCAUUUUGCCUUUUAGUGCACCUGCUCGAGCCCGCUCGCCCAGAUUCUAAGAUCCUAUCCGGAAGCUGCUGAUCGCAAUUCGGGAGUUGCUGUCUAUUGGAAGACUGCCUUUCCCUGGUACCGGCUGUGACAAAUUAUUAUUUUAGAGAGACAGCAACCACCUGACCAUCACCUGAUGGCUGCCUGACAUUCCCGGUGAGGGUGGGGGUGCCCUCUCCUGCCCUGCUCAUGUCUGACUAACCACCUGCUAUAACAAUACAUCAUCACUGUGACAACAUGAGAAAACACUGUGUACAGGACCAUAUCGACUAGGAGAGCCAGACACCCAUAGUCUAGCCACACCCCCCCCCACAUCUCUAUACUCCCUUCCAGCAGGAGCACAGAAAGCCGAAGCCACAGCCCUCUGCCAUUUCUGUCACUCCCCAGGGCACUCAGUUGAAAGAACAGGAUCUAGGCUUUAUUCUAAGGUCACACGGUUUACCUUAACCCUAGAAUUUGUGCAGAUCUUUCUGCCUUUGCUGAUUUCCCUGCUGUGACCUGGGACACGAUCCACCUCAUCCGAAGUCCUACCAGGGCUCGAGGCGAUCACCGUGACUGUCAAAACUACCCCUCAAGAGCAUCCAUGUGCAUACACGCAUCGGGUGUGUGUUAUUAUUGAUUAUAUUUUAAUCCUGUUUUCCAUUUAUUUGAAUUUUCAAGAUUUUGUGGUCAUGUAGUGUUAAAUAAUUACAACAAAUCCUCAUCAGCCAUUAGUUGACAACCUUAUUUUUUCUUCCUGCAGAAUCAUUUUUUAACAAAUUACAUUUACAUAAAACUGUCGGGCAUUCAGAAAUGUUUAAUGAAAAGGAAGCUGCUUCAGCCAGCUGGCAGCUUGUUUGCAACGCCUGUGGUCAGUGAUGCUCCCUUGAAGAUCUGUUCAUCUCAUAAUGAGUCUUUCAAGAUGUACUAUUUGCUUUAUGCACUUAGAAAAGGUGGAGAGAAGAGGCAUAUGGGCAAAGCUCCUGUGUUGGAUUGAUGUUUUUUGGUGUCAGGAAAGUCCAUGUCCAGCGCAAUCUCACCUGGAGCAUGUCCUGUUUCCCAAAGGUCGUGACCUUUCCACCGCGGGCUCUUCUGAAGUGAGCUUAGAAGCUCACCCAUGGGCGAGUGAGCCGCAUGUGAAACUGCUUUCCUGUUGGAAGAGUGCUCCACUACACCGGUGACAUCAUCCUGUGUGUGUUCCUGCUCUGAGGACUUAAAGGUAAAAUGAUUUAAUUAGGUGAUAGUAUUACCUGGUAUUUGUUUGAGCUGAGUGGAUUAUAGGCUCUUACUCUUCUAGCUAGUCUAAAUUUUAUUCUUGAACCAAACAAGCAGGUAUUUAGACUGCAUUGUUUUAGUUCAUAGUUGACUCGUUUCUAUCAAAUGGUGCUUUGGUGUCAUGUCAUUGGUAUAAAUUGAUUGAUCUUAAAAGACAUAUUGGCAAACUAUCUUUGCACUUAUUAUAGAGAUAUUUUUGGGACAUGGUUAAAUAAAUUCU